CCUUCCUGAAAUACUCCUUGGCCUCAGUAAAAGAGAAUAUGGCCGUUGGUCUUGGGCAAAAAUCUGUAGAAACUUCUCCAAAGCAUUUAGUGUAGAUGUUGCCAAAUAUGGAAGGUUGAUGAGGAGAGAGAUCCGCCUGAUCUGCUGGGUGCUGGUCCAGCUGAGGACGUCUUGGAUGUCUCCUGAAUGGUCUAGAGUAUCUCCUGGUUCCCACAGAUAGCCCUGGGUCGAACCAAGUUGAAUUGGUUGAAGACUUUCCUUAAAUGAUGUCAGUUUGGCCAAUUGAUGCAAACCGGCUUGAUCUUUUGGUUUGAUUGGGAUCCGCCUGAUCCAGUGUGGCAUGGUGCUUUCUAUGAUGCUGUAGAGUGCCUCUGAAUGACUUAGAAGGUCUCCUGGUUGCCAUUCUUGAGGUUGGUUCGAUGUGAAACCCGGAUCUUCCAAAUAAGGCAAGUGUAGAGCUGGUUUGGCCGGUUUUGGGAAAUUGAUCAUAUCUUCCAAAAUCCUUGACCAUUUCUCGAGAUCUUGGGCUUUCUGGAAAGCUAAUAAACUCCUCUUGACUCCUAUGAUCGGUUUUGGUUCAGGCCGCUUCUUCUUUGGGCUUGAAUCCUCUUCUAAAGUCGCAUACUCGCAGAUGGACGGGCUGAGAAACCUCUGAAUUGUAAAAUUCAUAACUUCUUGCUCCGUGAAUAUUUUGGGCAGAUUCCAAUUGGCCUGGACUCCUUCUUGAGUGUAGAAUCCAUAAAUAUUAUCCUCGUGAUUUAAACCCUCCUGGUUUGUAAGAUACGGCAUUUUUAGUGCACGUAUGUCCUGGUUGGCGCCUUGGCUGGUUGAGUAGGGUGUUGGGUCGACCUCUGGUUCAGCUGAUGAAUUGCUGGCCGCAACAUUCCCUCCUCCUUGAAAAGGUUUCGACCUCGAAACUGUAUAACCUGCACCAAGAUAGAGCAAGUCAGCUUUCAUACUCUUCUGAGAUUCUAAGGUCUUACCUUGAUAUUGUUUUGGUUUGGGGAUGGAUUGUUCAUCAGGUGGCUCUUCUUUCAGCAAAUAGGAUAGGAUCACGCCUCUGCUAUGGACAUUUGCAUUGCUUCUCUUCUUCAGCAGAUGGUCCUUCAUACUCCUAGCAGGCUCAGCUCUGGCCAUCUUUGGGUUUGAUCCUCCUAGCAACAAAAGAUUAUCCGGUGGGAUUUCUUUGAAGCUUUCUUCUUUGCAACCUGAAAAUUUUUCAACAUUCUGGACAAAGACCAAGUGAAUUAUAUCUGAUACUGGAAUUUCAUGAACAGAAUUUGUUAUGGUCGAAUUUACCUUGGGUGCAUCAGCUUGAUGAAGAAUGAUAUUCUUCUUUGGACAGAUUUGGUUAGAUGGCUGCCUUUCUUGCAAAUGUUUACCUUGGUUGGUAUAACCAUCUUCUUGUGAUAGCUCAGCUUGGUUUUUAUGUUCUUCUUGACUUAUCCCUGGAUCAAAACAUCUUGGCAAAGACAAGUGUAUUAUACCAAAGUAUAGGGAUUUAUAAACUGAAGAAAACAUAGAACAAUUAACCUUAAUGUCAAAUGUGGCAGUAAGAACUUCUUGUUCUUUGUUUGCCUUGUAGUAACCUUGCUUUCCUGUACCAAUUUCACUUUUCCUUGGACAAGACAAGUGCAUUAAUCUUGUCAUAGAAUCAAUAAAAACAUUCUGGUUUAAAGUGAAUUUUACCUCAGAUUUUGGCACUUGAACAGUACAUUGUUCAGAUUUCGGUUUCCACUUAUGGUGUGGAUUUUGAUUGAGCUCAUGAUCUGGUUCGGCACUUGGAACUCCAGUAAGCAUAUGGCUCUCAUCUGGUAUCCCUGUACCAAGAAUAUAAAUGUUUAAACCAGUAUCUAAAGGUGGUGUUAGACACUUACCUUGGUUUGAUACUUGGAUCACUGGUUUUGGUUUAUUAAGCAACUUUGAUUGCUUUGUGCUUUGAGCUUCCUUCUGGUCCAUUGGAAGGUUUGUGCCUGGCGCCUCUUCUUCUAUGUACCUAGGCUCCUUUAGACCUGUAAUAACACUCUUGGACAAAGACAAGUGCAUCAUACAAGUGGUAGAUGAUUUAUGAAAAGAUUUAUCAUGUAUAGGACUUACCUUAGCCUUUACUUGGACAAUAACUUGCUCUGGUUUGUCUUUGGACCUGAUCAAAGUGUUUUGGCCGAUACUUGUACUCAUCUUCCUGACCUUUGCGAUGUCACUCUCCUGCUCUAAACAGUGGACAAUGGCGUGCCCCUGGUUUGGCUGAAAGUUGGCUUCUUUAGGCAAGACUCUUUGAACUUCUUGUUCCACAAUUUUCCUUGCUUCUUUGGAACCAUGAGUUGGAUAUCUCCUUGGAUAUAGUUUCUGGAUUUCAGACCUUGUAUAAUCUGGUGCAAAUCUAUCCCUCAUGACUUCCUUAAGAGCUCUCCACGUUUUGAUAGCUGGCUCCUUGUAAAACCAUCUAUCAUCCUCUUCUUGUACCCACCAUUUAAAAGCAUCAUCUUUUAGUUGAUCAAUGGCAUAAGCUAGCCUCUCUUUCCUCAGGAUGUUGUUGUAGUGAAACCAUUCAUCAAGGUUCCUCUCCCAUCUUAGAUAACCUCUUUUUCCUGAAAAUUUAAAGAGUUCAACUUUAUCAGCAAAAGAGUUAUAAUCAAACCGAGAAUUAACAACAUAAGGGUUGUGGGUUUUAGAAGUUGGAGUUUGAUUGAUCCUUGAAGGAUCUGGUGGCUUGGGCUCGACAUAGACUGCCCCUGGUACAUUUCCAAAUCUCCUUUCUCCUUCAUGUGGACGUUGGCCUUGUGCCUGAUUUCUUUUCUCCAAUUGAGCAAUCUUAAUUUGGAGCUGUUGUAGAGCUGCGGACUGUUGGCUCAAGGUGGCCCUUAGGUUUUGGCCGUGUCUCUCCUCCUCCAUUGCUUCCUGAAAACAAUCUCAAAGAAAAAGUGAAGGUAUGGAAAGUUUUGGUCUAACCAAAAUAAAACAAAUGCAAAUUUAACUAAACCGAGAAAAUAUGCAAUUAUGAACCGAAAUGAAGUAACUAUACUAAAAUGAUUUUUCUUUUGGUUUUCUGAAUGCAAUUUCGAAAUUAAACAAUAUGGUAUGAAAAGAAACAAAAAUGGGAAGAAAAUAUGGAAAUUAAACUCACACUGAUUUUUUUUUUUGAAUUUUCUUAAGAUGAAAUGCAAAAACACCGGAAAUGGAAACUAAAAUGUAUACUUGACCCCAAAAUGAUAUAAACUAAGCUGAAUGAUUUUUUUUUUUUUGAAUGCAAAUAACAAACUUUUGAAACAAAUAUGGUAAGCACAAAAUUAAAAAUGGUAUAACUUUUUAUUUAUUUUUUUUAAAGCAAGAAACAACUAUGAAAAUGCAGAUCUUUUUUUUUUUUUUGAAAUGAAUGCACAAAAUCUAAAAAUGGAAAGUGGAGCUGGGGAAUGAAUGCAAACACGUUUUUCUUUUCUUUUUAUGGAUGAAAUGAAUCAAACUAGACAACAGGUCGUCUCCUAUCUCAACUCUUUAUGGGUUUUCAAUUUAUGAUGAACAAAGAACACAAAAAUGCAAAAACAGUUUUUUUUUUUUAUUUAUAAAUGGAAAAACAAAUGCAAACAAGAUGAAUGAUGCAAGGAUAGAAUGGACCUGAUUCAGGAGCUUAAGCUCUGAUACCAAAUGUUGCAGGCUGGGAUUCAGGGUGGGCAAGAUGGAUGAUGGAAGCUUGGAUGGGUCGACCAAAGAGAUGAUCGGAUGGGCGAUAUGAUGGAAUGCAAGUUAUGAACCUGAAAACAAAUGCAAAAACAAAUGAGAUAUGAUUUCUAAUAUGAUAAAACAAGAUAAAUAAAGAUAGAUAGGAUGGAAUCAAGCUGCUGGUUGUGUAACACUCUCAGCUUGAUCAAAAGAUGAUUGAAGUGGAUUGAGGUGGUGCUUUGCUUGCUGGACUGAUGUCUCUCUCAAGCUUGGCAAACGAAUUGGAGUGGAAGGAUGGGGGAUUGAGGACGCCACAAGACUCUAUGGAAAGGAGCCUUGAUAAGUCAAGGUGCUUUGGAGCUGCUUCACACAAACUCAAAAGACUUAGAACAAUAGUUUUAAGAAAACUAGAAAACUGAAUAAUUCUUAUUACUUUCAAAAAUGGGUAAUUUACAAUGAAGCAAAGACUAGAGCUUUAUAGGCUCGACAAGGACAGACUCUAACAGUCAUAAAAUGAUAAAAGGAAACAAAAUAACUUGAACUUAAAGUCUUGGGAGCAAAGGCUUUGAUGACUCCAUGGAAUAUAGCCGUUAGGCUUGAUUUGCUUCCUUCCAAAAGAGAAACUUGUGAAGACUUGUAUCUUGAUAGCUUCUGGACGUGGCCAUGAUCUUCAAGCCUUCCUGAAAUACUCCUUGGCCUCAGUAAAAGAGAAUAUGGCCGUUGGUCUUGGGCAAAAAUCUGUAGAAACUUCUCCAAAGCAUUUAGUGUAGAUGUUGCCAAAUAUGGAAGGUUGAUGAGGAGAGAGAUCCGCCUGAUCUGCUGGGUGCUGGUCCAGCUGAGGACGUCUUGGAUGUCUCCUGAAUGGUCUAGAGUAUCUCCUGGUUCCCACAGAUAGCCCUGGGUCGAACCAAGUUGAAUUGGUUGAAGACUUUCCUUAAAUGAUGUCAGUUUGGCCAAUUGAUGCAAACCGGCUUGAUCUUUUGGUUUGAUUGGGAUCCGCCUGAUCCAGUGUGGCAUGGUGCUUUCUAUGAUGUUGUAGAGUGCCUCUGAAUGACUUAGAAGGUCUCCUGGUUGCCAUUCUUGAGGUUGGUUCGAUGUGAAACCCGGAUCUUCCAAAUAAGGCAAGUGUAGAGCUGGUUUGGCCGGUUUUGGGAAAUUGAUCAUAUCUUCCAAAAUCCUUGACCAUUUCUCGAGAUCUUGGGCUUUCUGGAAAGCUAAUAAACUCCUCUUGACUCCUAUGAUCGGUUUUGGUUCAGGCCGCUUCUUCUUUGGGCUUGAAUCCUCUUCUAAAGUCGCAUACUCGCAGAUGGACGGGCUGAGAAACCUCUGAAUUGUAAAAUUCAUAACUUCUUGCUCCGUGAAUAUUUUGGGCAGAUUCCAAUUGGCCUGGACUCCUUCUUGAGUGUAGAAUCCAUAAAUAUUAUCCUCGUGAUUUAAACCCUCCUGGUUUGUAAGAUACGGCAUUUUUAGUGCACGUAUGUCCUGGUUGGCGCCUUGGCUGGUUGAGUAGGGUGUUGGGUCGACCUCUGGUUCAGCUGAUGAAUUGCUGGCCGCAACA
rnacentral:lncRNA from 1 species